rnacentral:lncRNA from 1 species
CUUUGAUGUAAUUUGCAAUUGUUUUGGGGCACCGCUAACCACACCCAUAUAAGAUGCCUAACUUAACUGAUAAAUGUGGUGUGUGUUCUGACUCUUCCACCAACCAACCAUUCCCCCAUUUCUCUCUCCUCAGGCCUCCCUAUUCCCUGAGACACACAGUGUUGAAAUGAAACCAGUUAAUAACACUACAGUGGCCUCUCAGUGUUCACGUGAAAGGAAGAGUCUCACAUCUCUCUCUUUAAAUUAAAAGCUAGAAAUGAUUAAGCUUAGUGAGGAAGACAUGUUGAAAGCUGAGAUAGGUUGAAAGCUAGGCCUCUUGUACCAAACAGCCAGUUGUGAAUGCAAAGGAAAAGUUCUUGAAGGAAGUAAAACCACUCCACUGAACACAUGAGUGAUAAGAAACCAAAACAGCUUUAUUGCUGAUACGGAGAAAGUUUGAGUGAUCUGGAAAGAAGAUCAAACCAGCCACAACAUGCCUUUAAGCCACAGCCUAAUCCACAGCAGGGUCCUAACUUUCUUCAAUUCUGUGACGGCUGAGAGAGAUGAGGAAGCUGCAGAAGAAAAGUUAGAAGCUAGCAGAGGUUGCUUCAUGAGGUUUAAGGAAAGAAGCUGUCUCCACAACAUAACAGUGCAAAGUGAAGCAGCAAAUGUUAGUGUAGACACUGCAGCAAGUUAUUCAGAAAACCUAGCUAAGAUAGUGGAUGAAGGUGGCUAUACUAAACAACAUAUUUUUAAUGUAGAUGAAACACUUUAUAUUGGAAGAAGAUACCAUCUUGGACUUCCAUAACUAGAGAGAAGUCAGUGCCUGGCUUCAAAGGACAGUCUGCCUUUCUUGAUAGGAGCUAAUGGAGCUGGUGACUUGAAGUUGAAGCCAAUGCUCAUUUACUAAGCUGAAAAUCCUAGAGUCCUUAAGGAUCAUGCUGGCUGGGCAUGCUGUAAUCCUAGCACAUUGAGAGGCCAAGUCAGGAGGAUUGCUGAGCCCAGGAGUUUGAGACUAGCCUGGGCAACAUGGAAAAACCCUGUCUCUACAAAAAAAUACAAAAAUUAGCUGGGUGUGGUGGUACACACCUGUGGUCCCAGCUACUAGGGAGGCUAAGGUGGGUAGAUUGCUUGAGCCUGGGAAGCAGAGGUUGCAGUGAGCCAAGAUUGUGCCACUGCACUCCAGCCUGGGUAACAGAGAAAGACCCUGUCUCAAACAAACACACAAACAAACAAAAAGAAUCAUGCUAAAUCUACUCUGCCUGUGCUCUAGAAAUGGAACAACAAAGCCUGGACGAUAGCACAUUUAUUUACAGCAUGGUUUACUGAAUAUUUUAAGCCCACUGUUGAGACCUACUGCUCAGAAGAAAAAAAGAUUCCUUUCGAAAUAUUACUGCUCAUUGACAAUGCACCGAGUCACUGAAGAGCUCUGAGGGAGAUGUGCAAAAAGGUUAAUAUUGUUUUCAUGCCUGCUAACACAGCUAACCAUUCCACAGCCCACAGAUCAAGGAGUAAUUUCAACUUUCAAGUCUUAUUAUUUAAGAAAUACAUUUUGUAAGGGUAUAGCUGCCAUAGAUAGUGAUUCCUCUGAUGGAUCUGAGCAAAGUACAUUGAAAACCUUCUGGAGAGGAUUCACAUUCUAGAUGCAAUUAAGAACAUUUGUGAUUCAUGGGAGGAGAUCAAAAUAUCAACAUGAACAGGAGUUUGGAAGAAGUUGAUUCCCAUCCUCAUGGAUGACUUUCACAGGUUCAAGACUUCAGUGGAGGAAAUAACUGUAGAUAUAGUGGAAAUAGCAAGAGAACUAGAAUUAGAAGUGUAGCCUGAAGAUGUGACAGAAUUGCUGCAUUCUUAUGAUAAAAUUUGAAUGGAUGAGAAGUUGCUUCUUAUGGAUGAGUAAAGAAAGUGGUUUCUUAGGAUGAAAUCUACUCCUGGGGAAGAUGCUGUGAAAUUGUUGAAAUAACAGCAAAGAAUUUAGAAUGUCACAUAAACUUGACUGAUAAAGCAGUGGCAGAGUUUGAGAGGAUUGACUCCAACUUUGAGAGUUCUGUGGGUAAAAUGCUAUUAAACAGCAUCACAUACCACAGAGAAAUAGUUCAUGAAAGGAAGAAUCAACUGAUGCAGCAAACUUCAGUGUUGUCAUGUUUUAAGAAAUUGCCACAGCCACCUGAGCCUUCAGCAGUUAUCACCCUAAUCAGCCAUGAGUCAGCAGACAUUAAGCCAUUCACUCAGUAAAUAUGUUCCAGUUUGGAGCUGAUCUCAACAAUGAUGUGUUAUGCCUUAGCAUCAGCCUGAAGCAUACGCACUGCUGCAGUGAGCCAGUCUUCUGAGCUGUUUCACCCAGGAAUGCAUUCAGACCAACUGCAGAAGAAUGAAAGAAGUGUCAAAUAGUUAAAGAAUCUAGCCCACACAGAAAGGGAGCUUCUGGUCAGGAGUUCUUCAGAGAGGAUAUGGUGGGUAUUUACUUGGGCCUCAAGGGUCCAGCUUCAGGUUCUUUGCCAUCAGUGGUGGAGACCAGUGAUACACAGCAAGGAACACGUCUUGGAACUACUGAUCCUGACCAUCCUGCCCAAGAACUCCAGGCCUGGGUAUAGGAGCAUCCCAGAGUAUAGGAAAGAGGCUGUCUGUACUGAAGAACUUGGAGAGGAAGCUGAAUGAUCUGAGAGGAAAGGUAAAAUGAAGAAAUGUCUUAUCAGAUAGCAGAUAUUAUCUCCAGAGAGAGAUAAGAGAGUUGAGAUAACUUCUCUAGCGUAGUUAGAGAAAAUGGCUAACAUGUUAUUGGCCAGAGUUAUUUAUUUUUGUUCUAGUUUGGUGAGUUUUUUUUAACUUGUAGGCCCUGUGUAUUUUCCCCUCUUUGUCUGUGUAUCCCUGCCCUUGCAGAUGACAGAAAACUGCUUUCUGCCCUCCCAUCGUGUGUUCCACAGUAAUAAUGGGAUUUUAAGCUCUAACUUUCAGCAAAUGUCACCCUCAUUAAACUCCAUCUAAUUGUGCCCAGUUCCCCACCCUCCUACAGGGGACAAGAAGUGUCCCAACGCAAAUAGUGUAUCUGGCAGCCUCAUAGGACUCAACUGGAGUCCGGCUCCAGCCAGUAAAGGGUCAACUCAGCUCUGAAUGUUGGGAGUUUCACACUGUUAAGGAGAACGCUGAGGAGGAGAUAGCAAAGAAGAAGUUAGGAAAUGUUGGUGUCUUUUUGCAUUUUUCCAAAUGAACCUUGUCACUAAAAUCUCUGCAUACCUUUCAUUUAAUCUCUAUUGCCUAUUCCACUUUUAACCUGUUCCUCUAAGCAUACCACUUUAGCCUGGAUUAUGAUUCUUUUCUUUCUUCACUUCUUUGCCUUAAAAUUGUUUUUUUUAAAAAAUCCUGCUACUCAUGUUACCUUGCAUGGUUCAGUUUCUCCCUUCUAAUACUGCCAACUUCCUUAACCCAGACCUCUUAUCGCAAAGACAGGAGAAUGUUUUUCUAUAUUGAAGCCAAUAGAAAACUACUAAAAGGCUACAUGCAAUUAGUAAAUUUUUAAAUGUACAUUUUUUAAAUGAGUGUAGGAAACAUAAAACUUUAGUAGGUGCAUGCUUACUGGGAAAGCACGCAUGCAUGCUAAAAUGUCAUUGUACAGUACAUAUUGUUUACCACUUGUUUUUUAGUUUAAUAUUACAUUAUGGAUAUCUUUUCAAGUUACAUAUAAUACCUAUAUGUAGCUGACAUACAUUUCACUGCAAGGGUAUUGAAUUAUUUUGUAACUGGCCUUAGAGGGUUUUUACAUUGCUGCUUUUUUCUUUUUUUAAAUACUACCAACUAAAAGCCAUAAACUCUUUUCUUUUUCUUUUUUUCUUCACUCUGUACUAUGAAAAAAGUUUAAGCAUAUAUAAAAGUACAAUUGUACUACUUCUAAUAAAUCCCCACAAACCUGUCACCCAGCUUCAACAUUAUCAGAUUAUGGCCAAACUUGUUUCACUUACAACUCUACUCAUAUCCCAUGCUUUUAUAUAUAUAUAAUUUUAAAGCAUAUCUGAGCUAGCAUAGUCUUUCAAAUGUAAAUAUUUCAAUAUUUGCUGUAAAAGAUAUGAAUUUUAAAAAUGUAAACAUAAUACUAUUUUCAUACCUAAACAAUUAACAGUAAUUCCUUAAUAUCAAUUUUCCAGUUUUCUCAAAGAUGUCAUAAACUUUUUUUUGUUCAUUUUGUUUUUUAACUUAUUUGAAUCAAGAUCCAAGGAAGAAAACACAUUGUGAUGGGUUGAUAUGUCUCCUAAGUUUCUUUUAAUAUAUGGGUACCCUCUCCUGUUUUCUCUUCCAACUCACUUGUUAAAGAAAAUGAAGUUGUUUGUCCUGUAGAGUUGCACACAGCAUGGGUUUUGCUGUCUGCAUCAUGUGCUAUAGUCUAAGAUGUUCUGUUGUCCUCUGUAUUUUCUGUAAAUUGUAGUAAUGUACAGGCUUGAUCAAAAUCAAGUUUUAAGUUUUUUUGACCAGAUAAAUUUAAUGAUUUUGGCAAGAUGGUGUGUUCUAUUUGAAGCCUAUUAUUUUCUGUUUGUCUCUUUUUCUGUGGUGUUAGCAGCUAUUGAUCCUCAAUACCUAUAGCCAGUAAUCCAUUACGGGUCCCAAAAUGGUGACAUUCUAAUUGCAUCCUUCUUUCUUCAUUUAAUAAAGCUGGAAUAGUUAUAUAAAGAGACAUUUCCCCUGAUUUUUUGUUUAGUUAUUCAAUGGUUUGUUUAGGAAAGGCAAGAUAAUUGCUUAAGUCACUCCCCAC